AGUAAACAUACCUAAUAUAUAUCUAUUUUUUUCCUAUUCACCUAUUUAUAUUUGAAUUACGGCAGCAGCAUUCUCGCUCAAUACUGGGCCAUUCUCAAAAAUUGCUGUCAUAAUUAGUCCCUUGUACAAAAUAACCCGAAAACAUGCUCCAUUUUGAAAAGUCCUGAAGUUUUCCUUUUUAAUUUUUUUUUUCUUUAUAACAUGUUGAAAGUUAUAAAUGAUAAUGCAUGUGUCCGGAUUAUACUCAACUGAGUUUUGGGGACGAAUCAAUUGUUCUGCUGAUUGCUGUAGAUACUAUGUACCAACAAAGAAGGUUUCUUCUAUUUCUCUUCUCUAUUACAGCAAUUUUCUACCAAAACAUUGAAUCUUCCUGGGAACAUGGGCCCCUCUUCUUUGUUUUGGCUUCUGCUGUGGAGUCCAAUUUUCCACUUAACAUUAUCAACUGAACUGAGAAAGUUUGUGCCACUGGCAAAUGAAACGUUCUGGAUUGGAGUACAAAUGUGUGUGGAGAGAGGUGGUCAUCUCGUGACUUUACAUAAUCGCUAUGAUCUCCAAUUGAUUAAGAAAUUAUUAAAUAAGGCAGGAGCGUCAGCCUAUCUUGGUCUUCAUGAAAAGGAACAUGCAAAUCGAAGCGAAUGGUCAAAUGGAGACGAAAUGACGAAGUGGACAACGGAAGCUAACAUAACCUAUGAACAGAAAUGUGUGGCGAUUCAAAACAAUGAAUGGAGAGAGCAGCCAUGCAAUGAAGCAAUGUAUUUCAUGUGCUACAAUGCAUGUAAGUAAUAUUAUUUGUGUUGCUAUGCUUUCUAGAGAAUAAAUUAGUUUAUACAAUUUAUCAUAAUCAUAUAUGUGUGUGUUUGGGGGGGGGGGUUGUAGCUGAAUACCUCAUUGAACAGAAGAAAGAUUGGUGUGAAGCCCGCCUGUACUGCAGGAAGCAUUUCACUGACCUGGUCAGCAUCAACAACAACACCCAGAACGAGAAGGCCCUCAGAAGAGGAGCCAACAGGGCCUUCUGGAUCGGACUGAAGCAUGAUAACUACGAGUGGGAAGACGGACAGUGCUCCACAUUCAGGGAGGGAAUUACCAUCAGCCAAGUAGGCUGCAAGGAAUGUGCUCAUCAGCUUGGAGAUAACAUUGUUUUAGACAAUUGCAUUAAUGGCAAAGGGAUUAUUUGCAUGCAAGGAGAUACCAGAAUCACCGUCCCCACUGACCCCCUAACCUGGGAAGAGGCCUACGACUACUGCAAGGAGAACCACGACGGACUUCUGUUCAUCAGGGAUCAAGAUGAGCAAUGCGAAGUCGAAAAAUGGCUCAGCGCGACUGGGGUUC